rnacentral:rRNA from 1 species
AUGGGGAAGACGAAGACUUGCUCCAGAAGCUUGUCUUACUCCUCGAGCUGGUGGGCUUAUGAUGGAGGACCUGCACUCUUGGCUCCACCAGCGCAGCCGCUGCCGCUUCUGCUUCUGCUCCCCGCUCACCCACAGCGCAGAGAAGAUGCUACUAGUAUCUCUCACAAGUUAACUAGAACAAUUGAAAGCAACAGUAGAUCAGAAAUUGCUUCUACUCUAGAGUACUCUCACCGGCAGCAUGAUCAAUUGUGUUUGAAAUUAAUGAACAAGUGCAAGGAUCAGAAAUUGGAGCUUCUUCUCACCGGCAGCAGCACAAGCAGGGUAGCUCCAGGCAGCAGCACGAGCAGGCCCGCCUGGGAGGAGCAGCAACUUGCAGACGAGCAGCAGGUCGAGGAGAGGAGUGGGGGAGACGACAGGGGCCUCGAGGUUGAGGAUGAGCUUCAAUUCCAGGCCCGCCGGGAGCUCCAGGUCCAGGCGCUCGAGACCCAGGCGCGCGCAGGUCCUGGCUGGCGGGAGGGGAUAGAGGCGCAGCCUUGGGCGGCGUAA